rnacentral:misc_RNA from 1 species
GCAAACUUGGUCAUUUAGAGGAAGUAAAAGUCGUAACAAGGUUUCCGUAGGUGAACCUGCGGAAGGAUCAUUACAGAGAAAUUGCCCUUUGGGGUAGAUCUCCCACCCUAUGUUUACAUUACCUUUGUUGCUUUGGCAGGCCCGUCUUUUGACCACCGGCUUCGGCUGGUCAGUGUCUGCCAGAGGACCCCUAAACUCUUGAUAUUUUGUUGUCUGAGUAAAUAUAUAAUAGUUAAAACUUUCAACAACGGAUCUCUUGGUUCUGGCAUCGAUGAAGAACGCAGC